rnacentral:rRNA from 1 species
GAGGGGCCGCGCCCUCAUUUCUGCUUCUCUCUCCCUUCUGCUGCGCCCGUGACUGUGGCUGCGGGCGCGGGUAAAGGGACGGGGCGCGGGCGUCGAAGGCAGGGUAGGUGGUGGCGGGUGAGGGAGCGGGGCGAGGAAGGCGGCGAAGCAGCAGCUGACGCCGGCACUCACCGGUUGCGCGUGCGCGUGCGCGUGCGUCGAGCUAGAGGCCGAGAACGAGCUCGCAACGUAAGGCGAGCUAGUGUGCAUCAUGCAUCGAGACAACUAAAAACGAGGCAAGCAGAGCCGUCCUCGUCUCCGCCUUUUCGCUCGCUAGGCACCCUCCCUGCCCCCCUGAUCCCUCGUCGCAUGCCUGUCCCCGUCAUCGCGCCCCUAGUCCGGACGCAACCUCACCAACUCUAAGCACGAUACCCGCCUAAGAGACGCCGAUGUCGCCGCCUCGCCACGCGGCAGCCCUAGGUGCGCAGGGGCAGGAGCGGCCGCGGCGCGGGCGCCAGCGUCGCCGGCGACGGGCGGGCGGCGCGGCGGCGGAGGGAGCGCCAGAGGGCGGCGUCGGAGGAGCACGGGGCGCGGCAGCGGCGCGGGUGUCUGGCGCGGAGGGGCCUUCAACAGCCUUCCAAGUUCGACCUCAGGUUGAGGCUCGAGGUCCACUGAAACUUGGGUCGCGGCGUCCCACGCCAGCGGCUCUAGUUAGAGGUCCGCUGGUUGUGGUCGCCGAGGGACCAAGACGUAACCCCGCGGGAGGCGAGCCUGUCCUCUCUUACCGAGGAGGGCAGGGCUUCUGGCCUACCUUGCUGUCACAUGUUCUUGUUCCGGGAGUCCAGUGGAAAACAUUUCAGUCCACUGUUAAGGUGCGACUCUUAACUCUAUCUACUAGGGCGUCAAGUUCGGUAGCUCAAGGAACACAAGCUGCUCCGUGCCUUAUUUACCAAAUUUUUGUUACCGGUCUUAAAGGAUUAGGUUGAUGUCUGUUCGGCAUUACUCCCCGUUCUACGUGGACCACGAUGACGAAGACGAUAACACCACGGUCUCCUAGAACACGUCUAGGUUAGCAUGGAAGCAACCCUUUCCUUACCUUUCGCCAGAAUAUGUCGACUGGUUCUCUUCCCCCUCAUACUUCGUCGUGCUCGUCUCAAUUAUCUCCUUAAUUUGUCUCCACAAGGUGACUUCUUCGACGCUCGAUCUAAUUGUUUUUGUGGGCUCAGCUCACCUUCACUACGAGGACGUAGAGUUUGAUGGUAUUGGUCACAGGGUCUCCUUGAACAUGUUCAGGUCCGAAUGGAUUCUACCCUCUUUCGACCGUUCGGUUUAAUAAGGGGUCUCUUCGUUGACCAACUCAAACUCCUUCGUUCUUUCCUUGACGUCCGACUCAACCUAUUACCUCGGAGUCAACUAGUUAAUUCCUUCUUUUAACACUUUCCUUUGGAACUUUUCUUUCAAAGGUUCGUUGACCUCUUCUUCUUCAUGAAGAGUCAUCUUUCCUAAGUCGCGUCUUUGUCUCUAUAGUGCGUUGAAGAAUUAUUUGUAUUCGGACACCAAUGUCUUGUCGUUCAUUUUCGACGUGGGUUUGUCGGUUGACAAAAACUAGAGAAGUGUUUCAGGAACGUCCUCCCCCUAUUGACACUGCAGGAUUCGUCCUUCGAAAAGUUCUAGCCACUACUCCUCUAUGACCGUUAACGGUGUUUAUGAGAUCCAUUUUGGUCUCAAGUGAACCGUUGUUUGGCAUACCUCGGUGAAUAAGAAGUGACCCGUGACCGUUUUUUCGGGCCUCUUACCCUCCGUGGAGGAAGAUCGUAUCACGGAAGACCGAGUUGUCAAGAGCUGUUCCGUACACUUUGAAGUAAGCCACUCAGACUUAACCUACCACACGUUAUGGUCCAACAACUCUAUCUCGAACUACUGCCGUCUAUGUUCCCCUACGGGAAACAAGAGGCCGCACCACUUUGUACCUAUUUCUUGUUGCUGAGGCUGAAGAUAAACCUAAAGUUGUGGUUUCAAUGAUUCUUUAGUUUCCUAUGCCCACUACGGCCAUUUCCGUGGCGUUUCCUAAAGGACCUUUCUUAUCGUCUAGACCUCCUUCUACGGGUCGCUAGAAAAUACGUGUCUAAGUUAUAACGCCGCCUAGAUCAACUGGUUCGGUCUCUACGACCUGAUAACCCAUAGCAACCUGAAAAACAAACCUAAUCUAAGUACAGAUGGUCCGUUGAUUAUACCUUGUUCUUGAUGUUACACUUUGGUGCACUCUAUUCGGUUCGUGUUCUGUCCAAAUGUCUACUGGAGCUCUUAUACAUGUUUUCAAUGGGUGUCAUGUCUCUCUAGAAUUCUUACAAUAACAGACGACAACCAGCACCUCCACUUCCACUACAACCAGUCGCAUAGGCACUACUCUAUAAUCAUUAGGUCUCUUUAUUACUGACGUUUCCACCUUAAUACCUUCUUACCGUGGUCUUUGACGUGUUGUUAUGUUCGGGUCUACUACAUCAGUAUACGGUCCGCUAUUAACUAAUAUAGUUCUCGCUAAAGCUAUAGUUGCAAAUGACCCUGUGGAACUUGUUUUUACCGUAUUGGUUUCUUGCUGACAACUCGAUACUAGCACGUUAAGUAAGUCUUGGUUUUAAGUCCUCACUGGUCUUUCUCCCCAAUGAGGCACUAAACCCGUUGAUAUACUCUUCGGACUUCCGACACGUGAGACCACGACUAGAACUCAGACGAUAACGCUGUACAUACCCUAUGUUUAGUCUCCCACUUCCAAAGUACCAACCACAAGUUUAGUUGGGCCACUUACCAAAUAGUAGACCAAAAGGACUAAACGAAGUUAAACACGAACUGGUACAACUCCUAUUCAGUCGUCUCGGUGAAGAACUCCCCAAUAGCCUCCGAGCACAACUUGAUGCGGGAAACGAGUGACCGAGUAGACUUGCGAACUUCCUAGAAUAGAAAAACCUGUAACGAGAACUAAGAUGAAAGUCCUGUCGUCAACUUUCCAGCAUACUCCUCGACUUACUACGUCGUGGCCUCUUUUAAUACAUGAAGUAGUCAGAACAAGAACUUUUAGAACGGAACAGGUGACUGCUGUUGCUUCUGUAGAAUAUAACGAAUUUCCCUACCUUAGCUCGGUACCUGUACCAAUUCGUUUUCCUACUGGUUACCCGGGAGAUGCGAUUUCGUAAAGAACUGUCUUGGUCUGAACGGGAACGCUCGUUCCCGCUUGUUAUGAUGUUAUACUACGUCGGGAGCCGACUUAUAGAACCGAGUAAUGAGUUGCAACUCCUUACCCGUCAACUGUAGAAGUGUCUUCUUCAUUAAGCACCACCUAGUCGACGGUGAAAUAGACGAGAAGACUUGGCUAAACUGGGACAAGAGUCUUUACAGCGUGUGGAACCUUCAACCGUCCAAUAAUCGGGUCAACUUCAUUGUCCAAUAUAACAUCACCAACUAUUCAACGAAAGACAAGUUUUGUUUUGAAUACUAUUUGGUUGUUAGGAACACCGUUUCUCACAGUUCCCUCUCCUUCUUUAUGGUCUACCACAACAACCGCACUAUUGUGGACUAUACGGUCUACAAGACAGAGUACACAGUCAAGCUCGUUCCUUAACGUUCCACAACAAACGCUGUACGAAACUGGGCUUGUGGGACAGACUUGAAGUUCCUGUACUUCCCUUCCACAAAAGGAAGUUUUGAUGAAGACGUCUACAGUGGAUGUCCCUCCAUAGCCUGUCACUUGAAUACGUCAGUUCAAGAAGUCUAUGUGUUCCACCACUUCGUUAUGGUAGAAAUAGUAAUCAGUUCUUUUUCAAGGAACCUUUUAUACGUUAUAGUCGCCUUCUCAAGAGACUACUUUACCAACCUCGUUUCAGGGCGUUGUAUCGUAUGGACUUUCCUUUUCAUGGAAGUACCCAACCAUAGGGUUGUAGUCAACGCUAUGGUAAACCCUGGAAACUCUUCUAUAACAGACUACUCUGGUUAUUCCUUCAUCGUGUUUUGUAUGUCUACGACUUCCCGUCUGAACGAGUUCUUCUAAAAUCACGAGAUCCUCUUUAGGCCUUUUGACAAGAAUUAGAUUGACGAGGUUGAGUUGACCAAUUCCUCGACUUCCUCUUCUACGAUUCGAGGCCUUACGGGACCGGACCUCUACUUUCACUGGUGGCAACCCUCGUUCGUACCUACCGUUAAUUUUUCCAAACCCGUAGUUUUACCUUACUUUCUCGUAUAAAAUCGUGGGCGUUCCACUUCGAGCUAGUACUCAUGGAAAGGUACCGACAAGAACAUGUUCUUUAACAGUUGCGUCUGAUACGGAAACAAUAAGUAUGAUGCUUGGGCAGUAGACCUCUAAGAAGACUCUAUAUACGACUUCACCACUUUCCUGAACCUCUUUGUGAACACCCUCGAAUAGGACCGGCACGGUACUCGAAGCACACAUUCUUUCUACUGGAGCUGAGAGGGUUCCAUGAGCCAAUGGGAUCGUUCGGUUAACCAGAGAAGUAUUUCGCCAGUUAGUAGAAGGCAAGUCUGAGAUUACCACUCCUAGACCUUCCAAUGCGACCUCGUCCCGACAUACUAUCACAGGGAUACCUACACCUUCUACUUCAACAUGAGCUGAUGUGCUGGCUGGGAGAGUAGUGACUGAGACCUAAGGCCUCGAGUUAGGAGAGUUCGUAACGUGCCCGACCGGUGCGGUAGCUCCUCGAGAUACCCAGUGGCGUCCUAUAACUCCCUCAUCACUUCCUACCCUUCUAGAUGCAUCAGGUCUGUUCUGGUGUCUACAUUAUACAUACAUAUCCGCCGAGUUCAACAUCUCAUCAUGAGGGAGGCAGGGUAUUACAUUCUGCAAAAAAGUGUGAUCACCACAGUUUUUUGCAGAAUGUAAUACCCUGCCUCCCUCAUCCUAUAUACCAGGAACGACCGUACAUAUCAACAUGAGUAUCCACGUGUUGUGUAGAUGCAACAAUAAAUAAACGUAUAUGCGAGUCUUAUUCGAAACUAGUGUAUGACAUAAAGGAUCUCAUGGUCUUGUACAUACAUGCUAGUCCUUAUACUGGAAUAAUUUUGGUAGCUCCCCUUUACAAAACUCGUUAGAUAUAAAUGUGCACGUCAAUAUUACGUUUAUAGUCAUCAGACGAACGAAAAAGCCAGGAGAGGAAAUACAGGUUAUCCAUCUUUCGUACUUUUUUUAGGACAUUUAUAGACAAGAGACUUUUACUGUCGAAGAACAUGAGCAGUCGUCGUUUAUAGGCUUCUCUCAAAUAGAGGUCAACGGGUCCUCAGUGUCGGAGUGCCCGUGUCCUUCUUCUUGGACUUCACUCUUUACCGUCCCAAGAAGUCGUGGACACGACGAAGACUAGUGAUAACAAACGUCGAGUCUAGACCUAGUCGAGUGGUACUUGACUAAUCUGGUUUGUUCAUGUCUUCCUGGUACUAGUCCACGACGUCGUGUCGUUUCCCCUUCUGUUCUUCCCUGAUGAUGGUCCAAGAACCUCAUCGUUGAGUAAGGUGUGGAGUCCUCUAGUUCCUUCGAAUGUCCUUUGAGGUCUUCGUUGUGGUAGGACUAUAACGACCGCUGUUCCCGGUACUGGUGUGCGACAACGACUUACUCCGCAUACUCCACAACUACUCCUCAAGUAGGUCCUUUCGACUACCUAAACCGUUCUCGUCUCCGCCGAAACCCUCGCCAAUGUGGCCCCUCCCUAUGUCAAGAACCUUACCCGGAUAGUCCUCGGUCCGAGAGAAACACCUACUCUUGUUUACGUAUCCUACAUCCCUCACACAAGUGGUACGGCCGUUCUGCAAACGGUACCUGCUACAAGAACCUUCGCGCGUGCAACUUCAGGUCAAACCGCUGCACCUCGUCGUCUAGGUCCACCGACACCUCACGACGGGACACUUGACGUAGGUGACCCAGCCCUCGCUUCUCGAGGGCCACGACCUCAAGUACCGCGCAGGCGUCGGGUUCCUUCCCGUGCCGUACAAGCCGCCGCCCACCCUCUCCGGGUUCCUGCACAAGCGCCGUCGGUCCUUGAAGCGGUUCUUUGAGCUCUUCGUCCUCGUCGUUCUAUCAAGGUCCCCGCGGUUGCCCCCACUUCUGCACCUCCGACUUUGCCGUCGAGUCCGGCUUCGCUCUGCGGUGCGCCCCGUCCUCGAUGCCACCUUCUCAAACAAGCUACAAACCUUACCCAACCCUCUGACCUCCUUCAGGCCUUGUCUGUCCAUCUACACGUUACCGAUCAGCGACCAAUCACUACCACACUUCUGAUGUUGGUAUGUGACCCUACAACAUGCUGCACGACAUUAUGGACCCUAUAUGAUUCUACCUUCUACUGUGUCUUGUUGGAAAAAAAAAAAUAUUAAGAGCGGGUUGAAAUAAUUAAGUCG